rnacentral:rRNA from 1 species
AACGAACGCUGGCGGCAUGCCUAACACAUGCAAGUCGAACGAGACCUUCGGGUCUCGUGGCGCACGGGUGCGUAACGCGUGGGAACCUGCCCUUAGGUUCGGAAUAACUCCCCGAAAGGGGUGCUAAUACCGGAUAAUGUCUUCGGACCAAAGAUUUAUCGCCUUUGGAUGGGCCGGCGUUGGAUUAGCUAGUUGGUAGGGUAAAAGCCUACCAAGGCGACGAUCCAUAGCUGGUCUGGGAGGAUGAUCAGCCACACCGGGACUGAGACACGGCCCAGACUCCUACGGGAGGCAGCAGUGGGGAAUAUUGGAAAAUGGGGGAAAGCCUGAUCCAGCAAUGCCGCGUGAGUGAUGAAGGCCUUAGGGUUGUAAAGCUCUUUUACCCGGGAUGAUAAUGACAGUACCGGGAGAAUAAGCUCCGGCUAACUCCGUG